rnacentral:lncRNA from 1 species
GCUAUCCUGUGGACCCGAGCUGUCAGUUGUACCCUCCCCUGCUUCGCGCGCAUGGCGGGCGGCCACAACCGAUGCGCCAAGAACCCCCGACUCCAGCUAGCCCAACCUCCCAUGCUCGGACCUAUAUGAAGAGAGGUAUCCCCUUGGUCGCGCCCAUCCGCACCGCACAAGACCAUCCAAACCCUUGCCGCAGGUGUGGGGGAGUUGUUGGCGCCGCCGCCCGGGGAGAACUCGCCCCAUCGCCGAUCUGUACGCGUAGUCGUGCCGUGGUGCGUCUCUAGCGCGUGGUGAAGUUGUUCAUAGACUCGGCAGAGGGAGUUGAUCGUCGGGGCGGAGAGAACUUCUCACAGGAGAAAGAAGAUCGAGGCGGAUCGACCAUCAGUGCGGGUGGGCCUCUCUGUGCCAUCAAAGCUGGUAUGUUUCCCUUGCCUACACUCGCACGGCGAUUCGUUAGGUUAAACGCUGGUCAGGUUGGGGAAAGUGCACCUUGGCGCGGGGUUAGAGUUCACCGGCGGGGUGCGCCACCGUGCGGGCGCUGCGCCGCUGUUUGGUGACCUCCAUGGAGAAGGAUAGGUCUGUUGCCGUAGAUCCAAAAUUGGACAUUUAGGAUCACGUACGGUGUACCGGUUCGAGGGUCUUCAUCUGGGUCGUCCAUUUUUGCUUGUAGGGUAGUGAUUGGAUCUGGGGUAUUUUAAAACCGCCACCGUUGGAUGAUCGAUUGGUGGCCAGGAUUAGAUCGUGUUUUCAUAAAACUCGAACCGUAAGAUUUAGACCUAAGGGUCAAAGACUCGCAUCCCUUUGCGAUUUAAUCUGGACGCUCGGUGUGGAUCCAACAGUCCAUGAUCGCCGAUACUGAUACCCUUUCGGCUAUGAAACUUUAUAAAAGAACCCCUAGCGUUUGUACUUAUCAACCCGCAGUCUAGGUUACUGAUAAGAUCAUUACGCCGAGGCCCUGAAUUUUGCAAAAUAAACCAUAAACUUCUCAAAAAUAAUGCGCGCAGUUCAGAAACCUAAUAAAUUAGGUAAAUUAAUAUAGAAAAUGUUUUUAUUAUAAAAAUAAUUCCAAAAUCUUGUUUAAUUCAUAGAAAAUCCAUUUUAACUCCUUUUUAUCCAUUCCAGUUGCAUUAAUUUUAUAUCAAUAUUGUCAAUCACCUGGUAACUCUGUUUUAUCAUGAAACAUAGAUUAAAAUUAUCCACGUAAUUUAUUCCAUAUGAACCACUUAAAACUUCGGAAAAUCAUAACUCUUUAACCGUAACUCUGAAUUUAGUGAUUCUCGAACCUACGAUCUCGUUAUGAUGCGUAGAAUAUAAUUAUGUAGUAUGUUCUCAUGUUUAGUGCGAUGUUAAUUUCUCAUGUACCAUGUUUGUUUGUAUUGUUGCGAGUAGAUGAGCAGGCAACUGAGGACCCAGGUGCUCAGCAGGUGGAAAAUACUGAGCAGGAGCUCGUUGAAGGCAAGUUGUGCCCUUGAUCACUUCUAUUUACCCAAUAAUGUUCCUCUUAAUCAUUAUGAUCUGCAUAUGUUAAUUUUGAUGGGACCCAAUAGGUCACCCCACUUUGGCUAUCUUUAUACCUUGUUCACCACUGAACUUUUGGGUAGUACCUGCUAUUUCUUUAUGUGGUUUUGGGUGUUAAGAUAGACAUUAUUCAUGAUCAUGAUUCUAUUACCAAUGUGUUAUUUACUGUUCAUGACAAGAUCAUUAUGUUAAUUGGAACGUGGAGCGACCACCCGGGAAAGCAGUGCUACCACAAGGGUGGUAUGGGACGCUCUUGGCUGACUAAUUAGGAAAGCUAGUGGAGGACAACGUUACCUGAAAGGGCAAGGGAAGUAGACGAGUGGUCGGUAUAGGGAGGUUCUCGGGUUGAUUUUGUUGCGAUGGCUUUUUAGAUGGGAGAUUCCUGUACUGCGCUCCCUAGAAACUAUAGCUGGUUUUCUGAAGCUAGUGGAACUUUGUAAAGGCCUCACAGUGUUACCCUGCCUCGCUUCCUUGGUAAAGGUGUAUGGGGUCCGAUCAACCCCGUGGCAAAUGGGUAACAAGACUUGUGGGUAAAGAUGCGCAACCUCUGCAGAGUGUAAAACUGGUAUAUCAGCUGUGCUCACAGUCCUGAGCGGCUCGAACCCUCAUAUGAGUAAUUUAUGGAAUUAAAUUUAAUUGGUCAUUUGCAUCGCAUUGUGGUUUAUUUAUUAAUUGUGAUCUCUCAUUAUUUGGGAUGGUAUUUACUUAUACUUAGUAAUUGCUAAUAAAAUUUGACCAACUUAUUAAAAGCAAUGCUCAGCUUUAACCAUUAUUUGUUGAUCAGCCUUACACUUCACAUGAGCUCCCACCUUUGGUGAGUUCAUGCACAUUAUUCCCCACAACUUGUUGAGCUAUGAUCUUUUUCGAGCUCACCCUUGCGAUAUAUAACCCUCCACAGGAGAAGAACAAGUAGCCCAGGAGGAGGUCUACUACGAGGAGUACGAGCUUGUCUAGGUGGCGUCUCCCAGUCAGCUUGAUGGCGCCAAGGAAUAAUUAUUAGUUCGACUUAUUGUUCUCAUUUAUUUAUGUAAGACUGUUCCGUUAUGUAAUAAUGAUUGUGACAUUUAUCUCUAUACACUUGGUCAUUAUAUGUGUUGUUCUUCUUUGGCGCACAUAUGAGACGCACCAGGCUUUAUCCCUUAAACUCGGGUGUCACAGAAGUGGUAUC